UAGGGAAUAUUGGACAAUGGGGGCAACCCUGAUCCAGCCAUGCCGCGUGAGUGAAGAAGGCCCUCGGGUUGUAAAGCUCUUUUGUCCGGAAAGAAAAGCAUUCGGUGAAUACCCGGAUGUUCUGACGGUACCGGAAGAAUAAGCACCGGCUAACUUCGUGCCAGCAGCCGCGGUAAUACGAAGGGUGCAAGCGUUACUCGGAAUUACUGGGCGUAAAGCGUGCGUAGGUGGUUGUUUAAGUCUGAUGUGAAAGCCCUGGGCUCAACCUGGGAAUGGCAUUGGAAACUGGGCAGAUAUAGUGCGGUAGAGGGUAGUGGAAUUCCCGGUGUAGCAGUGAAAUGCGUAGAGAUCGGGAGGAACAUCUGUGGCGAAGGCGACUGCCUGGACCAGCACUGACACUGAGGCACGAAAGCGUGGGGAGCAAACA
rnacentral:rRNA from 1 species